UACGUAGGGUGCGAGCGUUAAUCGGAAUUACUGGGCGUAAAGGGCUCGUAGGCGGCCAACUAAGUCAGACGUGAAAUCCCUCGGCUUAACCGGGGAACUGCGUCUGAUACUGGAUGGCUGGAGGUUGGGAGAGGGAUGCGGAAUUCCAGGUGUAGCGGUGAAAUGCGUAGAUAUCUGGAGGAACACCGGUGGCGAAGGCGGCAUCCUGGACCAAUUCUGACGCUGAGGAGCGAAAGCCAGGGGAGCAAACGGG
rnacentral:rRNA from 1 species